ACUAUAUGUGAUCCUGCACCUGCUCAUAAUUGAGAGAACCUUUGAAAGAGAAGUCACGUUCUCCUGUUUCAUCAUGUAUCCUGUGUUACAGGAUGUCGGUGGGCGGAGCCGCGAGGGUCGUCAGCGAAAUGGGAUACACCUGGGCUCUGGUGUGUCCCAGGGAUAAAUGCACCUUUCCCCCGUUCAUCGAGGAGACUCUCUCCAUGCAGACACACUGUUGUAUUUUGGUUGUGGCACUUCUCAACACCCCUCAUUAUCACCAUCUAUGCACGCAACCACUCACUUACACUACUGACUACACACACACCAUUGUUAAUUAUAUAGUUUACUUUAGUUAAGAAAUAUAUUGUAGUUAUUCCUUGAUCUAUGCCUCUUUGUUAUGGGCUAUGAGCCGGUUCGUGACAAGUGGGGGCUCUUCUGGUUGGUUCCUGGACAUUUUGAAGUAUAGUAUUUUGUUGCAUUAUGAUGGGUUAAUGCUAAUUGGGAUGUGCUUUGGUUGGUUUUCACUACAUAGUCUAAUACGUGUUCUGUAUAGUGCCUUAAACAGAGUUCUGGUUGUCUGGUGAUGUCAUCAAAAUGUGCGUUGCAUGGAGAAGUAGGUCUAAUACUAGUGUUGUUAGGCUAACUGGUAUGAGUAUUGUGUUUGAUAAACUCUGUAGGGGCUUUGUUUAUCUUUUGUUACAGAUUUGAGUUUUGUUGUUUGGUGCCCAGGGUUGGUUGCCUUCAUUUGUUUGGUAAACUUGCCACUGUGGUGGAUAGUUGGUUGUGUGCUGUGUUGGAGAGUAAUAUUGGUUAGUUUUCAGGCCCCUGCCCAGGCUGGACACUCUUGUUUUACUCGCUGUUGGGACAUCGGUCUGAGGUGGUGAGUUCAUUCAGCUGUGUACCUCAGUGGGAGAUUUGGGUAGGGUAGUGCUAUUUCCUACCUGGAGCUAUAGCCUUUCUUUUCCCCUGUUAGGUUUAGCGAUGUGUUCCAUUUUGGAAUAUGUUGAGCAUGGUUAUUUUGUUUGUUAUUUUUGUGUGGUGUCCGUGGACGGAGCAGUGGUCUCGGGGGCACAUCCGUGGCUUAGGGGGAAUCCACCAGCGUGCUGGGAGGUUUUCCAUGCCAGCGGGCUACAGUGCGUAAUUACCCACCGCGAAUCCACAUGAAGACUAGGGUUGAGUUAUUGUAGAAUUUGGGGAAGCUCCUUAUAUCUCAUCUCUCUCCUGUGGUGCCCAGUGUGCUUGGCGCUUCUCUUGUUGUGGUCUGGUCUGAUGUGCUCAGCGGAGAGGAAGAUGCAUUUUAGCAGUUACUUGUGACUGUGGUGUCUUAAUGUAGACGAGUUCAUUUACGUUCCAUCAGAGGAACGGUUAGAAUGAUGUACUAAAGAACAGCUGUUGAAAGAUCGCUGAACACUACCAGGUUUAAAUUGGUGAUAAACAUCUAAAAUUCUGUUAGGUUGAUAUUGAAGGCCAAUCUAAUGGAGAGUGGUAUACUUGGAGGUUACCACUCGCCACCUCCAUAGCCGUCUACCCGUUUCGUUACAAUGGCCGCCUCAUCUGUUAGUCAUAGUAGUCUUCCUUUUGAAAGAACUACUUGUUACAGCUAGAGCAUCCUCGUCUUACACACCUUGAGAGGAUUGGAAAUGGUUUGGAACACACUAUCAUUAUUUUUUAGCAGUGCUGAAACAUGGAAGCCCAAAUGUUGCCCUCGGACCUUGACGUAUCACCUUGAUGUAAUGGUUAAGAUGUUGGGUCGGUGAGUGAGAGACUCUUCAGGUCUGGAUUCACCAUUUAGAUUUACAUUACACCCCAAAAUAUUGUUCUGUGGCAGAAGGUGAGUUCAACAAUAUGAGUUUGAUAGAAUUCCAACCAAAGAGGAGUUUGACAACUCUGAUCUACUAACCUCAUCAAUGUCAACAUUUCUGGGCAGCAACAACACAUUUAGGGUGGAACUAUUUUUAUCAUCUGGGAGUUGGUAAAAUAGUAACACCAGAGCACGGAUAGGAGAGACAGGAACUUCCUGUUCCUUGGUGAUGCCAUAUUUGCUGAAUCCAGUGAUGUUUAAUAUGACGUGAGUUUCUGUUGCCUCAUGGGGAAGGAGAAACUCCAUACUGUCAUCAUCAGUCACAUGGGCUACAGACAGGAAGUCACAUCCACCCUCUAGGAGAGAAAGAGAACAUUAGUCUUCUGUUCAGAUGACAAUGACAACCCAGUAGUGGAGUAGUGAUGCUACUGAUGGUGGUUAAGAAUACAUAGUCUAUAACCUCCCUGGAAACGUAGUUGUCAGACAGAACCCUUAAGGCAUGUUUAUUUAUUUAUUUAACCUUUAACCAGGAAGGGCUCAUUGACAUUUAAAAUCUCUUUUUUAAGAGUGUCCUGGCCAAGAGAGGCAGCACCAAGUCAUUACAAAAAUUACAGACAGACAACAUGAAAAACUACAAGUAAUCUAGUAAAAACCAUUGAAUUCACAAGAGUAUAACAAUAUCAAAAACAGCAAAUUAAAAACAUUGACAGGUCAGGGAAUCAGCCUCAAAAUCCUUCAUCAGUGAUUUAAAAACACCAAUCGGGACAAGUUCUUCCAGUUUAAAAUUAUUUUGUAAGCUGUUCCAAGACGAUGGCGCAGAGUACAUAAAAGACCUUUUACCAAAUUCAGUUCGGACAUUUGGAACAGUUAGCAGGAUAAAGUCUAGCGAACGAAGAGAGUUCCCACCACAUUUCUGAACAAUAAAAAGGUAGAAAACCCCAAAUGGCUUUGUAAAUAAAAGUAUACCAGUGACUGAGCCUACGAGUGACUAGAGAAGGCCAGCCAACCCUGGUAUACAAAGUGCAGUGGUGCGUAACCUUGAACAGGGGUCCUGCAGGCCUCUUGCCACUCUGGGAUAGAAGCCUCCUGUCCCAGUGGACUGUCCUAUAGAGCACCUCUCCCUCCAUCCUGAACACCAGGCCUGUUAUACUGCACUGGAACAGACCUGCACUGGGACACUGGAACCUGUAGAACAAACAAUUAUUCAAAUUACAUUUGAAUAACAUUUCCCGAAUUUGAUUUAAAAACAUUGCUAUUGUCAUUAAACUAUUAAUGAGGGGGGGAAAGUUACCGGUAUCCUCCCUUACCUUCAUGACUAUAGAUUUCAGGUUCAAAGUGAUUGGGAACCGUCUACAAUGUAAAGACAAUAAAAUGUGUUAUAGUUUGAACAGUAGUUGAAUUUAAACAUAUAAACAGGUCUUUCUUGCUUUCUUUACAGCAAAGGUCUUACCGUGGGAGGGUCAGUAGUACACAGGCCCUGGUUGACUCUUCUAAUCUCUGUAAAGUUUAAAUUCUCCAUGGCAUCAGGUAAGCUGUCAGACAGAAGUCCUCGGACACCGUCCUCGCUCUCCUCUUCCUUUGUCCCCUCACUAGAAAAAGGCUAACUGUGAGAGCGUGGCAAGGGAUUGGAUGAUCCUUUCUGUUUUGGCAAGGUUGGAUCAUUGGGUUCCAGGAGGAGGAGAAUCUGCACAGAGAACGUGUACCUGUCUAUUUGUUGACCCUCAUGUCAUUUUGUGAACUGUGUGCUCUUCUUCAGGCCCUCCUAGGAAGUGGAGGAGGAUAUCAUCACAUUAAAAUGAAUAAAGCUGGUGAUACUUCAGUAGACAAUAUCACAACCCUUUGGACUGACUACAGACACGCUUUUCUGUUGUAUUUUACCUCUUCAUCAUCUUCCUCUUUUCCUUCUUCUCUGCAUAUUUCUGUCAUUUUCAGGAUCUCAUCUGGACAGCGGGUGGCCUGAACAUAGACACAGAAUUAGCACUAAAUGCUCAGCAGUAAAUGUCCACUCCCCAAGUUGAUUUAUAGUGGAAUGUCUGACUAGUCUCUUCUUUCACUCCUCUGCAGGGUUCUUUCUCACAGACAUCCUGUUUUGACUGCCAUAACUCACACAUCUCUCAGACCGUUAAUUUAUAAGAGGCAGAGACUAGAAAAUAACUGUGGAACAAUAUUAAACCUUAUCAUGCAUAUAUAUAUAUUGUUAAUCUGUAGUCUAGGACCCUAUACAUUUAAGGGGGGAGAGGUCUUAUAACCCUUCCCCUUCUAUUAAUACCUCAUAAGCAUAAUCAAUUAUUAUAAUUCAUCAAACAUUUGGUACAGCCCCUAUCAUGACCCCAAGGUGAACUCAACAGUAGCUAAAGUUAGUUAACCCAUACUGUUGAUGUCACAAGUUUACUGGAGAACUGAGACGAAGUAGAGACUCUGGACAGGGUGGAUAUUCGUAUAAUAAAAAGCAGUUUUAUUCAGAGGUAAAGAUAUCUGAUACAAGCGUGCAUGGACUCGUUCAUUCAGCUCGUAAGGAACCUGCAGACAGAGCCCAGAUAACAGAGUACAUAGACAUUUUAUACAGCACAGAAAGUAGGUUGAGUCUGGUAGAUCUGGUCUUCUGGUUGGUCCUGAUGAGUUGGGUGAGGUCCACUUCAGGCUAAUAUCACUGUCCCAUUGGCUCUAAGUGGAGUUCUUUGUCUUCAGAAAUGUUCAGCUAAAACAGGAGAUUAGGCGUGUGCGUAGAUGUUCCUAUUUUGACAUAUCUGUGUGUCUCUGUGAAAUGUUCAGCUAAAACAGGAGAUUUUGUGUGUGCGUAGAUGUUCCUGUCUUAAUCAGUGUUUAUGAAAGGUUUACGUCAGCCCUCUGUCCUUGGGUGUGUGUGUGUCUCAGUAUCCCGUGAAAUGCAGACCCAAGCACCAUUUUGAUCAAGGCCUUUCCUGCCUUAUCAGUGUUUAUGAAAGGUCUGUGCCAGCCCUCUGUCCUUGGGUGUGUGUGGGUCUCAGUAUAUGCUUAUGAGUUUGUGAGAAACCCUGUUUUGAAAGAAGUUAGUUAUAACAACGUAAUAGCAAUAUGCUUGUGUUAUUUUAAAUGGUAUUUAUUACAAUACUACAGUUAGUUAGCAAACCAACCAGUUUCACACCUAAUUAGCUAGCUAGCAUUUGCAGGUACCCAGAGAGUAACAUUGAUGUUAGACUCUAGCUAGCUGUUUUUUUAAUGUUCCUGUCAAAAAACAAUCCCUCCACACCCUUUACCAGAAAACAUAUCUAACCGUUCUUAGAUAGCAAGACCAAUACAGUAAGCUAGCUAAUAGUUAGUGCAACCACCACGUUUGCUCUGCUUUCCCGCCCUGUACUAUCUAGCAAACAACUGAGUUAGUGCAAACGUUAGUUAGCUAGCAUGCAAGUAUCCAGGCAGAGCUGCUAACGUUAGCCUAGAGAAAAUAAUAGUUUGCGACAUUAACUAAAACUGAUAAAUAAUAUAACAACCUUAUCAAAUUACAAACGUUUUCAUUAAUUUUGACGCUUACAAUUAUCCUUGUGUCGAGUUACCGUCUUGAGGAACAAAUUGCGGCUGAAUGACUUGCUCGUCCUGCCUCCCAGUGGUGAGGCAUGACGGUUAAACAUUCUAAUCAAUUCUGUUGUGAAAUUGUAGACUAAUGAUUUUAAAUUACAGGUCAUUAUCAGUCAAUCUGUCUAUCAGAACAUUUAACAAGGUAUUCGGGAAAAAAAAUCUAUUUUAAAUCAAUAUAUUUUAUUAAAUGUAUAUAUAUAUAUAUAUAUAUAUAUAUAUAUAUACUUUUUUUUAAAGAAUACUAUAUGCAAUAUUGUAUUCGUGUAUCUCAUGCAUUUCAAUGAGUACAAGCUGAUCAGGCUGACCAAAACGGACGGAAUAAAUAUAGUCCAGUUUUUGGGAAGACAAUUUUGGGCAAAAUAAAGUCCAUGACCAACAGACCUGAUAUUGCCGAAAAUUCGCCGUCCGUGGAAGUCACGUGCUGAGUGGCUAUGUUGGGACCAAAUCAAGGCUGAUCAAGACUUGAAUCAAACAUAAACGUCUAUGAUUGGUUGAGAUUUGGUCCGGACCAAACAUCUAUGUCCGUGGACAUUGAAAUCAAGGUCGGUUUGGGCCGCACAAAAUCUGAACCAAACAUAGAUGUCUAUGAUUGGUUCAGAUGUGGUCCGGUCCGGACCAAAAAUCAAUGUCCGUGGAUGUGGAAAUCAAGGCCGGUAUGGAACUGCACCCAGAAAAGGCGUUGAUCUGUGCUUACUGAGGUGUAGCCUACAGUGUUGCCUGAAAUGUAAUUUGAUGAAUGGCCAUCUAUGUGGUAAACCUACCGUUUGUAAAACACCAAAAAACGACGUCCUGACAGGACCAAAAUAAGACGUCGGCUGGUGCUUACUAGAAUGUAGCCUACCGUGUCAGCCCGCAAUAGAACUUUAUGAAUGCCCAUCCAAUUAGGUAGGUUCACGGUUGGUAAAACAGGCCGUUGCAUUGACUUUAUUAGUCCUGAAUCCUGUAACUAAUCAAUUUGGCUAUUUUAACUCUGAAUAUCACCUCCCCAACUUUACCAGGAGACUACUUGCAAUGUGUUUACACAGCGGGAAAUGCAGAAGUAUUACAUUUUUUCGCUAUGAUCAGCUUGUCAAAAAAAUGGACUGAUACUUGAAACCACUGAUCAUGACAAUGGGGUGAAACACCAGUACAACAGUUGUGAUUCUCCAUUCCAUAUUGUCCAUUUUAUUUUGACGUGUCGUGUUUUUAGGAAAUGUUUGUUAACAUGACAGCUCAUUUUGUAUUUGAUUGAGUGCCAUCUAGGUUGGGCUAUUUGAUCAGAGAAACCUGCAUGAUGUAAAAAGUGUCCAUCUCAUUACAUUGUCAUACAUUUUAUCUCCAUCCUGUAAGCUACAGAAAAGGUUAUGUGUGUCAAACAGGUGCUGUAUAGAUUACAGUUGAAUUGUGCUGACUAUUUGGAACAAUGUAAACACCACUAAAUAAAGUGUAAGCUUACCAGAGA